GUCCCGACAGGGAAAUCGAAUACAGCUGGAGGAAUGUCCUUGAAACUCUGUGAAGAGAAAGAGUGGAGGAGAGGAGGGUGUAUGAGAGAGAUGAACAGAUGCAAUCAAAGACUCUCAUUCACUUUGAGAAAAAGCUUCCAUUUGAUGUAUCACUCUGUCCAAUACAGUGCUUUAACUCCAGCUGAACUCAGAGGUGAGGUACUGGUCAUGGCAUCCCAGAGGAUCACAGUGCCGAGACUGUCAGAGAGAAAGAAUCAGAGUCUGUAAGGAUUACGACUGACACACAAGCACCCAACGCAGCGGGCCAUGUUCAGGAGAAGUGAAUCGCGGAUGAAAAAGGGAGGAUAAAACUGCCUUUUCCUCGCACUGUCAGGCACAGAGGGAGAAGAGAGGGAAGAGAGGGAAGAGGGGGAAUGGGACAGGACAGAAAUGCGUUCGUCGGGGGGGAGGGGAGGAGAGGUAGAAGGCAGGCGUACACUUAAGAGAGCAGGAGAUUCAUUUAGCCAGAAUGGGCUGUCAGAUGUAGCGUGGUUUUAACACAGGAGGGUAGAUGAGGAUAGCCUCCAUGUUGGAUCUCUUUGCUGUGUUUAGCACCACAAGUGGGAUUUUCCACCACUCCCUCUGUUUCACAGAUGCUGCAUUUGAGGAACAGUAGAGCACAGCAAAGGCAGAUAGAGGUAGAUAAACAGCUGUGCUUGGAGGUUGUGUGGGGAAAUGUAUUGGUAUCACUUGCUUUGAGCUACCUGUGUGUAAUGUGUUACAUACAGGUGGUUCACAGACAAUGCUACCACAAUUCUCCCUUUCUUGUUCAUAGAGAAUGAGUUAAAAUUGUG
rnacentral:lncRNA from 1 species